GCCAGAUCCGGCCGGGGAGCCGCCGUAGAGCCUCCACGUCGUCGGAGCAGAGCAGCCCGAGGUGGGUGCCGAUCUCGUCCCGCAGAUCACCGGCGGGGCCACGACCACCUCAUUCACUGUCGCGGUGGUGUUUCUCCCCGCGUCGCCGUCGUUGGUUCGCCUCACCCUCCUCACCCUGUCGGCUGCAACCGCUCCUACCCUCCACGGUGCUCCUCUUUGGCAUCCACCGCAGGCCAGUGAGCGGCCACGACCAGAAGUCAGGGAGGCCUCUAUUCCUCAUGUAUGCAAAAAUCCAGGGUAUUUGAUACAGAUGCUGUAAUAUUCUCUGGUUCUUCGAACUUGUGCUAAAUAUUCUCAUGCCACUUUUGUAGGAACCGGGAUGCGGUUCUGGCUUGUGGGCACAUGAGAGCCUGACGAUUUGAACACUAGCCUGUUUUCUUCUGUAGGAAAGUGGCAUCCUUGACCUGAUGGAAAGUUGGAGACAGACAUCAAAUUGGCUGCGGAUCAUUCUGAAUGCUGGAUUUCAUGCCAUCACUCUGACGAAAGCAUCUGUGCAUCUGUUCUGUUCUGUAUGUUGCCAGCUUGGCCUGCUGCUAUAAAUAUAGCACCAAAUCUACCAGGUUCAAACCAUUCAUUGCCUCAUUAGAAGCCUUCCAGUGUUCAUUGUCGCAAGGUAACCGACUCUUUUGGCUUUCUGCAAGUGUUUUUAUUUUCUCUACUCAUAUGUUCGCUGGAGCCAGGAUAUGUUCAGGCUAAUCAUGC
rnacentral:lncRNA from 1 species